UAGUAGAUCCUACUAAGCCAUUAGGCGGAUGACUUGGCUCAGACUUUGAUGAAGAGCGUGACAAGCAGCGAAAUGUUAUGGGGAGACGCAAGUAGUCUUCGAACCAUAAAUUCUUGAAUGAGACUUCUUUCCCUUUUAGGGAAUUCCAUUCUGGAAAAACUACGGAGGAAAUUGAAGCGUCUUAGUACCUCCAGGAAAAGAAAUCAAUAGAGAUACCGUUAGUAUCAGCGAGAGAAAACGGUGUAAGGCAAACUGAAUUCUUUGUAGAAAUACAAAGAAGGUGUGGUGUUGCGGACUUGUUUUUAUUCCUAAUUAAAAAUUACAAAGUUGUCUGGAAAGAUAUACCAUAGAGGGUGAUAGUCCCGUAGAAAUUUUUAAUGGAAGUACAAGUAUCCAGAGUAAGGUUUGCUGGAAACCAAACCUGAAUUUAGGAGUCACAAACUUCUAACUUUAAAUAUAGGUCUGAGUCCGAUAGAGCACAAGUACCGUGAGGGAAAGUUGAAAAGAACCCGCAAUAGGGAGUCAAAAGCGCCUGAAACCUAAUGGUCAUGGUAUGUUACGGCUCUAUGGGGUUGUAACGUACGUUUCGAAUAACGGGCCAGGAAGUUUAUUGCAGUGGCGAGAGUAAAGUUUUAAAGACUGUACUCGAAGGGAAACCAAUAGUAUGCAGUUCACGAGAUACGAAGUGCGAAAGUGCUUUUAGUCACUGCGAUAUGACCCGAAACCAGGUGAUCUAACCCUUAGCAAGGUGAAGUAGUGGUAAAACUCUAUGGAGGCCUGAAGAGGUUCUGUGUGCAAGCGUUCUUCUGACUUGGGGUUAGGGGUGAAAUGCCAAUCGAACCUGGUGAUAGCUGGUUCCUACCGAAAUGGGCCGCAGUCCAGCGUUCGCAGAGAUCGUUAUAGAGGUAUAGCUACGGAUUUGGGGUUUUGGGGGGGAAACUCCUCGACUCUUUGUCCAACUCAAAAUGCUAUAACAUCUAAGAAGCGAGCAGACGGCAUUACCGGGGUAAACUUGUAAUGCUAGAGAGGAACAACUCAAGACUAUAGUUAAGGUCCCUAAAUUCUGAUUAAGUGUUAAAGGGUGAAAGAUGUUUACUACCAAAAACAGUGGGGAGGUAGGCUUAGAAGCAGCCACCCUUCAAAGAAAGCGUAAUAGCUCACCCAUCGAGGUAGUAAGCUCUUAAAAUGGACGGGGCUAAAUCAGAUACCGAUACUAUAGAUAAGUUUCAAUAGAAAUUUGUGGUAGGUAGGUAUUCCAUCAGGGCGGAAGCCUCUAUGUAAAUAGGGGUUGACCUUAUGGGAAUAAGAAUCCUGGCGGUAGUAGGAUCUAAACAGAGUGAAACUCUCUGAUACCGAAAGGGCAAGGGUUUCUUGGCCACGUAGAUCAGCCAAGAGUAAGUCGAUCCUAACUUUAGAAGCGUAAAUGCUUCAAGGGAAUGGGAAAAAGGUUAAUAUUCCUUUACCUUUCAAAUACGUGUGGUAACACAAGAUUAUUCAUUGACACUUUGGGCUAAGCUAGCAUUUACUGUCGUAAAUGUUAAUCUGUAUAAAUCUUAGGAGUGUUGUAAUGACGAGAACAAGAUUAAACUGAGAAUAGCAGGUUCUAAAUCUGUCUAGCCGAUGCCGAGAGUCCAUGAAAAGAUGAAUAAUAAGGAUUUUGAAUGAUCGUACCUAGAACCAACACUGGUGCCCCUAGGUGAGAAGCCUAAGGUAUGAGGGUGUAAUCUAGCUAAGGGAACUCGGCAAAUUAGUCCCGUGCCUUUGGUAUAAGGGAUCCCUGCGAUUGUGUUCUUUUGAAUGCAAUUACAGGGUGCAAUGACAAGGGGUGCCCGACUGUUUAACAAAAACAUAACCUCUCGCAAGUCCGUAAGGAUGUGUACGCGAGGUGACGCCUGCCCAGUACCUGUAAUUUAAACUCCUUUUCAAGGGGGCUAAGAUCAGGCAAACGGCGGGAAUAACUAUGAUUCUCUUAAGGUAGCGAAAUACCUUGUCGUUUUAUUGACGACGCGCAUGAAUGGCGUAACGAGGUGCCCACUGUCCCUAGCUAGAAACCCCUGAAUACACUCUUGUGGUGCAAAGGCCAUAGUCUUCUGAUGGGAAGUAAAGACCCCGUGAAGCUUUACUGUAGCUUGUUGUUGUGGUGUGGGGCGUAUUGUGCAGUGUAGGUAGUAGUCGUCCGAUGGUUUAGACGCAAGUUUAGACCUAGACAUCAAUGAGACACUACCCCUUAUGUCUUAUAUCACUAACUUUAGAAAUAAAGGACAGCAGUAGGCAGACAGUUUGGCUGGGGCGGCACCCUGCUGAAAAUGUAUCGGCAGGGCCCAAAGGUCAGCUCAGGAGGUUUAGAAAUCCUCUGUAGAGUGCAAGAGCAAAAGCUGGCCUGACUGUAUUCCUAUAAGUAUGGAAUGCAGGAUGGAAACAUGGGUCUAGCGAACCCUUAUGCCCUUAUUUGUGGGGGCUAAGUAUGACAGAAAAGCUACUCCGGGGAUAACAGAGUUGUCGCGCCUAAGAGCUCGCAUCGACGGCGCGGUUUGCUACAUCGACGUCGGCUCUUCCUAACCUGGUCGUGCAGAAGCGACCAAGGGUGGGGGUGUUCACCCAUUAAAAGGGAUCGUGAGCUGGGUUCAAAACGUUGCGAAACAGUUUGUUCAAUAUCUGUCAGAAGUGUCUGGUGUCUGAGAGGAAGGAGUAUUUAGUACGAAAGGAACAAUACUUCGGGGCCUCUGGUCUAUCGGUUGUCUGACAAGGCAGGCCGAGCAGCUACGCCCCAAGAAAUAACAGCUGAAAGCAUCUAAGCUGGAAGUUCUCCUCAAAAAGAGACACCUUCUUAGAGCUCUUCUAAAACAGAAGUUUAAUAGGGCUGGGAUGUAAGCAUCAAGGUAACGAGAUGUUCAGUCUGCAGCUACUAAUCGCUCAAAGGAUUAACUA
rnacentral:rRNA from 1 species